AAGACAGCCGUCGCGCCAUUCUGGCAUCAAAGAUAAACGGAAUUAAACCGGACGUCUGGUUCGGAAACACAAAAUUCACCCUCUCAAUUCUCCAUUUUCUGCUCCGCCCUAAAUUUUAAAAGCUUCCAGAAUCAAUAUUUGGGAAAAUUGCAUCAUAAACGCGCCAAAUUUUUUUUUUUAGUUAAGAAAGUAUGAUUAAAACAAAGCACCAAAAAUCUAAACCAACUGCCAAAUCUGCCCACAUAAAAAAGGCUGGAAAGCAAGCUGAUAUAUCUGAAUUUAAGCAGCAGCUGGAUGCUUUGGGCCUAAAAAUAAUUCAAGUCACUGCAGAUGGUAAUUGUUUCUUCAGUUGCUGUUUGGGCAGAGCAUUAGCGGAUCAAUUGGAAGGCAAUGAGGAAGAGCAUGAGAAAUAUCGGAAUAUGGUAGUCCGUUUUAUAAUGAAAAAUCGAGAAAUGUUCGAGCCUUUUAUUGAGGAUGAGGUACCAUUUGAUGAAUAUUGUCAGUCAAUGGAAAAGGAUGGGACUUGGGCAGGACAUAUGGAAUUGCAAGCUGCUUCGCUUGUCACUCAUUGUAAUAUAUGCAUUCACCGACAUAUUUCUCCUCGCUGGUACAUACAGAAUUUUGACAAUUGUGAAGCCAAAAUGAUCCAUCUUUCUUAUCAUGAUGGAGAGCAUUACAACAGUGUCAGAUCAAAGGAUGACACUUGUGCUGGACCAGCAAGGCCAAUUGUAAUCAAGGCUGAUGCUGAUCUUUCAGCGACAUCUCAUCAUGCAAAAAGUGCCACCACGAAAUCUAUGGGAGACAUUGCUGGUAAUAAUGUUCAGCCAAGGUGUCUUAAAAUGGUCGUGACAGGAAGUGGAUGUGAAGAUGUUGAAAAGGUUAAAAAGGUUUUACAAGAAGUAGGUGGCGAUGCUGAUGCUGCAAUUGAGUAUCUAAUAGCUCAACAAAAUUCUGAAGAGAGUUUACAAGAAAAUGUUCAGCUUUAUAUUUCAGAAAACACUGUUCAUGGUGAGCAUGACAGUGAAAUACUUGAGCAGCAAAGCAUGCAAAAUGAAAAAAAGACUGGAAAUACACAAAUGACUCAGAUUGAGAAUAGCUUAUCGUUGGAUGACAAGAAAAUUCCAAGAAACAAGGCAUGCCCUUGUGGUUCAAAAAAGAAAUACAAGUCUUGCUGUGGAUCAGUUGCUGGAAAAUCUUCUGCUAGAUUUUCGGGAAAACAAUCAGUUGAUGAUGGCAAUGAUAGAAAAGACAAAAAGCAACGCAAGAAAGCACCAAAAAAUGUUUUGAAUCAUGAUCGAUCUGAAGGAGGGCUGCCUGAUAUGGGUGCACUUUGCAUAUGAGCUUCUUUUUUCAGGAGGGCUACCUGAUACGCGUGCACUUUGCAUAUGAGUUUCUUUUUCAGGUUCAUGGUGCGCUAAUUAAUUGGAAUACUUGUGUAAUGCUUUGGGACCUCAGGACAAGUGACAAUAAAGGCCGAAUCUGGAUCACACGUACCUUUGCUGGGCAACAGCGCAAGGAAGAGAUUGCUUAGCUGAUAGCGAGAUGUCUAUAGCAUUCCAGCCUUCAGAGGAAAAUGAAUCUAUCCCGCCAUUUGGACCAAAUUCUGUCCUCUCAAAUUCUGUUUUAUCCUGAUCUAGCCUUCUUCCCAAUGCCAAUAUCGCAUGAUUUUGCGGUUGUAUUUUUUUAACUUUUUUUUUUUUUGUGGAUUAUCUCAUCUAGUAGAUUUCUUGUAUACGUGAAACGACCUUCCCUCAUCAUUUCAUUUUCCAAGGGUAACAGAUAGUGUUGAAAUCCGAUGCCCGGAGUCGAGAUGUACGCUUCCUUUUGAGAAGUUUAUUAAACGCUUCUCUUUGCCCAUCUAGAUGGAUUUUUAGCAAUUUAGUAGGGAAGAUUAGGUGUUGGUUUGUUAAAUUGCUCAAAACCAUCCUUAUAAGGAAUAAUAAUGCCUUUUACAUUGCA